rnacentral:tRNA from 1 species
GCCCUAUUAGCUCAAUCGGAUAGAGCAAUCGCCUUCUAAGCGAUUGGUUGCAAGUUCGAAUCUUGUAUAGGGCG